UCCAGAGGGAAGGUGCUUAAUUUCAAUGGGAAGACCGACGACGUCGAUGAUGUGCACCGUAUUGCACAGCUUCUUCUUCCACUGAACCUCAGCCGAUCUAGGGUAUGCUACGGGCACUUGAAUGUUGCUGCUGCCAUUAUUGUUGUACUAGUCUCUAUUGUAAUCCAUCGAGCAUUUGAUAUUGAAACGGCCAUGCAAAGGCUAAGUGGUUGUGGCCGUUGUUGGAGGUUGUGGUUGGGAAAAAUGAAGGAAUUUUAGGGUUUGGUGGUGAUACGACUCAAAUUACAACCAUGGUAUAGGAGGCAAAGGAGAGGCAGAGGCAGAGGCAAAGAGAGAGGUUUGGUUUGUGGGUAAGAGAUUUAGUUCAUGGGAGUAAUUGGAAUAUUAGUUAGAAAAUGGGAGCAAUUUUACCCACUAUCUGGGUUGGUGGUUGUUUGGGCAC
rnacentral:lncRNA from 1 species